rnacentral:rRNA from 1 species
AUUGAACGCUGGCGGCAGGCCUAACACAUGCAAGUCGAACGAGUGGCGGACGGGCGAGCAAUGUCUGGGAAACUGCCUGAUGGACGGGGAUAACUACGGGAAACCGUAGCUACUACUGCUUACGCUCGCAUGUGACCAGAUGGGUGUAUCUAGUCGGUGGGGUAACGGCUCACCUAGGCGACGAUCCCUAGCUGGUCUGAGAGGAUGACCAGCCACACUGGAACUGAGACACGGUCCAGACUCCUACGGGAGGCAGCAGUGGGGAAUAUUGCACAAUGGGCGCAAGCCUGAUGCAGCCAUGCCGCGUGUAUGAAGAAGGCCUUCGGGUUGUAAAGUACUUUCAGCGAGGAGGCGUUACUCGCAGAAGAAGCACCGGCUAACUCCGUGCCAGCAGCCGCGGUAAUAC